CCGCCGUGAUCUGGUUCUUGGGUCGACGGAAAUGGAGGAUGGCGGUGGUGAGGAGGGAGGAGGUCAGGAGGCUGGCGUGGCUGGCAGCCAAGGAGGCGGCCAGGGCCGAGGCCGACACCCUUGCUUACAUGGUGCCUCCAUUCGCGCCAUCUCCUGCGGUUGAUGAUGACGGAGCUGAUGCCGGCAGAGAAAUUAGGGUUGGGGAUUGGGCGAUGCCACCGCCUCCAGCUCAGGUUCUGCUGCCACAGUGUGUUGUGUGCUAUCGGCACGCAACGACGAGGUGCUCGAGAUGCAAGGCUGUCAGAUACUGUUAAAAGCUUCAUGAGCUAGUUCAAAGCCUUCAGCAGCAAUUGCUGCAAUGCCGAGAAAUUAACAACACGAAAACAAGUGAGACCAACAAAGCAAAUCGUGAAGGUCUAGAAUAUAUGCACACUACGGGGACAAUAAGUUUUGCGAGGAUUCGCCAAAAAAUGGAAAAUGAGUUGGGAAGACCUCCAAGUGAAGCUGAAAUGUUUAUUGAGACCCGUAAAAAGAAGAUAAAUCCACAAGGAGAGAAAACAAUCAAUUUGAUAGGUGCUUUAGAAGAACUCAAAUCUCAAGAUGAAGUUGAUGAUGCAUGGGAUUUAGUCAAGAAAGAUGAACAUCCUGGACGUGUACGUCUUAUGGGGAGGGGUGUCACUAAAACCAUGCUCCAGAAUAAAAAUAAAAAGAUCAUGGAUUCCUCUGAGCAAGUUCCAGAAUCUGUUAAGUGAUGAACUUUUUUGCGAUUUAAUAACGGAGGAAUAUAGAUAU